rnacentral:rRNA from 1 species
AGCAGCCGCGGUAAUUCCAGCUCCAAUAGCGUAUAUUAAAGUUGUUGCAGUUAAAAAGCUCGUAGUUGAACUUCGGGGUUCACCCAUUGGUCAGGCUUAAUUGUCUGUACUGGUGAGAUGAGUCUCUACCUUCUGAGGAACUUUCAUGCCAUUUAUUUGGUGUGAUUGGAAAUCAGGACUGUUACUUUGAAAAAAUUAGAGUGUUUAAAGCAGGCUAACGUCUGAAUACAUUAGCAUGGAAUAAUGAAAUAGGACGGACUGAUUCUAUUUCGUUGGUU